ensembl:snoRNA
UGCAAAUGAUGUUUAUACUCACGAUGGUCUUCCAAGCCUCGUGGUGAAGAGGUUUUGACGAAAGUGCCAGAUGGCUUUACUGAUGCUUUGCA